GAUGAACGCUGGCUACAGGCUUAACACAUGCAAGUCGAGGGGAAACGGCAUUGAGUGCUUGCACUGAAUGGACGUCGACCGGCGCACGGGUGAGUAACGCGUAUCCAACCUUCCCGUUACUGCGGGAUAACCUGCCGAAAGGCAGACUAAUACCGCAUGUUCUUCGAUGACGGCAUCAGAUUCGAAGCAAAGAUCCGUCGGUAACGGAGGGGGAUGCGUCUGAUUAGCUAGUUGGCGGGGCGACGGCCCACCAAGGCGACGAUCAGUAGGGGUUCUGAGAGGAAGGUCCCCCACAUUGGAACUGAGACACGGUCCAAACUCCUACGGGAGGCAGCAGUGAGGAAUAUUGGUCAAUGGGCGGAAGCCUGAACCAGCCAAGUAGCGUGCAGGAGGACGGCCCUACGGGUUGUAAACUGCUUUUAUGCGGGGAUAAAGUGAGGGACGCGUCCCUUUUUGCAGGUACCGCAUGAAUAAGGACCGGCUAAUUCCGUG
rnacentral:rRNA from 1 species